UUGGCCUCCCAAAUUUCUGGGAUUACAGAUGUUUGCCACUGUGCCAGUGGAAUCUUUUGAAAGGGUUGGCUUCUGUUUAGCCCUUAGGGAAGAAAGUAUAAUUCUAGUUGUGAGGGAGGGGGUAUAACAAGAGGCUUGUCUGACCUCCUAUCCUAUCAUGGCUGAGAACUCAGUUUUCAAGGUUACUCUGGGCCAAAAAGAGUUGGUUGGGGAGCUUAGGAUUUUAUUUUUAUUUCUCAGCUUUAUGUUUGGCAUUGAAGGAAACCAGAGAACUUCAUCGCCAAAUAUGCCUCUUUGACAUAAACAUUUUUGAGCUAGAGACAAUUUGGAAGCAGCAAUUAUAAAAAAGGACUCUCUGAACUUUCCUUUCUCACAUGUGUCAGGCCGUAAAAAUUCUUGUGAAAAAUAUGCAGGGGGCGCUUCUUUCACCCCUUUCUGCCUGAUUAGCUCAGAGACUGAUGCCACUCGAGGCAGAAAAAUCUGGGAGCAGACUUUACCACAUUCCCAUUGUUUUCCCACCUUUUGGGAGCCUGAAGCUGUUUAUGCCUUUGUCUUCUCACUUCUAAAUGUAUUGUUGUUUGUUAGAGAUGCUAUAUAAGCUGGGACCUUGACCCAUCAUUUUGUGAGAUACUUUUGAACUGAAGUUUCUCCUGUGUUAUGAGCACAGCACAUGUAGAUAGAAACACUUGUUUUUUUUUUCUUUCUUGUUAUUCUGCUGUUUAUUAACAGGAAACUGUCCCAGUGUAAUUGCCCGAUGGGUUCUUCUUGCCUGCUGCACAGACAAAGCCAAUGUACCAAGAAAACAGUGUUGCAGUAGAGAAAGAGUUUAAUUAUCACAGGGCCUGCCAAACAGGAGGACGAGAGUUUAUUACUCAAAUCAGCCACCCUGAAAGCUCAAAAGCUUGGAGGCUAGGAUUUUUAAGGAUACUCUGGUGGGCAGGGUCUAGGAAAUGGGCACUGCUGAUGGGUUGGGGAUAAAAUCAUAGGAGUGUUGGAACUAUAUUCAUGCUGUGAGUCGGUUUCUAGAGGGAGAUUAUGGGACUGAUUGAGUCACAGGUCUUGGAGGGUUUGGGUGGCAUCAGUUGGUCUGUCUAAAUGCAAAAGUCUGAAAAAUAUCUCAAAUGCUAGUCUUAAGUUUUACAAUGACAAUGUUUUCUAUUGGGGCGAUUAGGAAACUUACAGCAGCAAGCAAUGACUAGUUAUCAUUUAACCAUGCAUAGAUUUUAGCAGAAUUCAGGUCCCUCCCAUAAUCCUAAUCUUGUGGCCUUUCAUUAGUUUUACAAAGGAGGUUUCAGUCCCUGAGCAAGGAAGGGGUUAGUUUUGGGGAGGGACUAUUGUUAUCCUUGAUUGAAAGUUAAACUAUAAACUAAAUUCCUCCCAUGGUUAGCUUGGGUUAUUGGAAUGAGUAAGGACAGCCAGCUUGUGAGGCUAGAAGCAGGACGGGGUCAGCCAUGCUAAACUCUCUCACUGUCAUAAUCUUUGCAAAGGCAGUUUCGCCCACUACAGACUUAAAAGUUUUGUGAAAAUUAUUGCUUUCUCCCCUUCAGCUUAAUAGAAGACAGUUGGGUUUUUCAUAUUUACUUCUGUCUUCAAUCUUUAGUGCUAUCACACUUUGGAACAGAUACCCUGGGGUAACUUCAAAUCGUGGGCGCGAAAGUACUUUGGACAAAAUAAAGCACCAUCAAAAUGCUAGGUGUUUGCUAUUUCUAUAAGGGUUGCUAAAACAUGAAGUAACAGGAAAUUCCUCCUGAGGCUCAUAACCUCUCAGAAUCAAACAGACCCAGAAAUGAGAUGUUUCUUUCCUGCAAGAAUUUCAGACAGAAAUCACAUUUUCACAGAUACUUGCAUGAAAAGGGUCCAUAAUUUCACCAAACACCAAACAAAUCUGACUCCAUGCAAGACAAACUUCUGUUGUUCUACACAGAAUUCUAUGAGAUACAGUUUGGAAAAUUGCAUAUAAUCUAUACUGCAUUAAAAAAAGCUUUUACACACAUUCUUUCAACUAAUCUGUAUACCUUUGAGAGGUAGGUAGUCUGAAGCUCAGAGAGAUUAAUGGACAAAUGACUUGCCAAAUGUUGCAUAGUUUUGAUAAGCGGUGAAAUGCAGGUUUUUCUGAUUCUAAUGCAAUCACUUUGUUUAUUACAUUACUAUGCCUCUGGGUAGUUUACCUCAUGCUCAUGGGGCUCUAAAGAAGACAGUCAGAGGAAAGAUGUGUCUGAUAUGCUGCAGAGGGAGGAAGGUAUAUUGGGAAAAGUUUUAAUGUGGCUGCCAGCCCACACAGCUGUGGGAACUAUUGCCUUUAGGGAUUGUGGUGACUCGGGAGAUGAAAUGUAGGACACUAGAGCAUUAGCAGGAGGUGGAAGUUAAGGAUCUAGACAGAAACUGAAAACCAUGGUUUCAGGCUGCUAAAAACCUAACAUGAAACAAAACAGAAGAACAACAACAACAAAAUAAGGUUGCUGACCAGAACUCAACAGUGAGGGAAUUUACCUCCUGCUUCAUGCAUGCAACAUCAAAAUAGAAGAGUGACCUAUGGGAUCCAUGGAGGAGCUGCUUCCUGAAUCUGUGUAAAGUAGAUCUUGCCGUGUGGGUAACUGUGACUGCGGUGGCCAUGAAGAGGCACAACUCAGACCUCGGAUCUCCUGCUGCAGAGAACAUUGACUGACAGCCCAGCAGCUCCUGUCUGGAUCUACCACCUGUUCACAAUUCUGAAAUACAUUCAACGCACACUUUCCUACUGAGAUUUCUAAAAUGGGACUUGGAAAACAGAAAAAUACUAAAGUGGGGUACUAUCAUCUAAAUCUCCAAAAAGGUCAUUCAACUCUGAUCCCUGUUUAAAGAGAGAAAAAAGGAAUAAAGGAGCCUUUGAAGGCAGAAUAUUGCUCACUCAUCUCUUUGAAAGGACCUCAGACUGCAGAGCAGAAGAACCACUGGCUACAUCAGCUGGGGCAGAGGGGGAUGAAGAGAACAUCAUGAUGCCUGCAAAAAAGUGGGCUCUGCAGGAUCUCCAGUCACCUCCCUUCCCUUCAGAUCCAGAGCUCUCUCUGGCUAGGACCUUCCAGAGUUCCAGAAUUUUUGUUCCACCUUCCAUUGCUCACUUCUAUUACUAUUACUAAGAUAUUCACAUGGAAUUCUGUGCAAACCAUUUUUUUUUUCUUUUGGUGCCCUCUUUGUUUUACUUCCUCUAUUGGGACUAAUGGCCAUCUGACUUGGGGGUCCUUUGUUUUUUGUGACAAACCACCCUCAGCAGAUUUCCUUGAGGUCCAUUUGCUCAAGGGCCUUAAAGCUUUUUGGAGUAAUACAGAGUAAGUUUCUAGACAGCCUCUUGUGCUCUGCAGUAAGCUAAAGUGGAAGAUUAAGAUGCCUGGUGUAUACUGUGUGUUUCCCAUGUAAUGGCAGAAAAGGAAUGGGGCUCAUUAGUUACUUUAAGGUGGCAGCAGCUACCUUAGAGAAGACUGCAUUGCUUGUACUGAUUCAAAAGAGCACCUAAUGAAGGGAAAAAGCAGAAAUAAGCCAAGACUUGAGCUGAGUGAUUCGUUGAAUCAGCCAAGGAUAAUGUUCUUCAGGCACUAUGCACAUGUCACUGAUCAGUAGCGCUUCUCUUAAGCUUCAACAGCACUCACUUCCCCUGUCUUGAUGAGGUGAGCAGCACAUUUAAUUUCAGCUCCUGGGGCCAUCUGCAAACCUCUACUCCAUUCCUCAGCUGUGUUUGCUCCUCUGUUCUCAGGGAGCAGCAUUUUCACUGGAUGCAAACUGUGAGGCACUGUCUGGGCAAGCAGAUUGGUUACUAAUGAGGAAACUGGCACUGACAGCCUUUUGGGUUCUGAUUGAAGAAAAGAGAUGUCUUCGCAUCAGAAUGGUUUAACUUUCAAUGUGGCAUAUCAACUGGUUGAAAUUAGGGAGAGAGAGAAAGAGAAAUUUAAUUGUCAGGCUGUGGUGCGUAGUGUCAAAGCUACCUAGAUUAUGAGAAAUACGUCUUUUCAACAGCUUAAAGGCCACAGCUCUCAACAUUUUUUCUGCAUGUACAACACAGACAGGAUCCAGAAAUCCCAGCCUAUAACUCUUGGUUCCGUCAAAUACUCAACAGAGAAAACAGAAGUAUUUGAUUGUGGUAUUAACUAUGAAAUGUUCCCUAUUAGCCAUAUGAUUCUAUUAGCUCAGCUCAUUCCUGUUAGAUUUAUAGAAACAUUAGAGAUAAUUGGAAUUAGAAGGGCCAAGAGAGACGAUCCAAUCCCAUAUAGAGAAAAGCAAGACCCCUGCUCUCACUGAAGAAGUUUUAAAAAUAAUUAAACAACAAACAAACAAAUUGAGGCCCAGAGAGAUGAAGUAAUUUGACUGAUGUAUUCCAUCAGUGACAGACCUGGGACUGGAGCUCCAUCUCAGCUCUCAGCCCACUAAGAACCCUGUUCAUGGUGCCAUACUAGCAACCCCCUUCCUGUAGGAGUCUUUGAGAGUCAGAAUGACUUCUUGACUGAGAGGUACAUGUCUCUAGGAUAAGGACAAUUGAGGGGAUAAUGAGGAAAGAAAUAAUGUAAGUUAACUAUAUUUUGCCACAUGCCCUCCUCUCUCCAUGAAUCCAGGAUGUUGACCCAUAUCCAGCAUCCAUUGUGGGACUAAGUCUCGGACACCAAGGACUUCUAAGGAGCCUGCUCCAAUCUGAAAUGACUGUGGGGGAGCUGGCCAUUCCCCGAGCCAUUCUUGGAAUAUUGGGCCACAGGGGCCACUGGGGAGCAUGUAUAGGUAGGGGCGGCUUUGAUAUAAGCCUAGGUAUUCAAUUCUUCAUGGGACCCCCAAUGCUACCCCAAGUCUGCACCUUGAUUCCCAAAUACCCAAGAGAGACAAAAUGUCCUACUUUCUCUCUGAAGUUCUUCUAAUGUUGGAAGACCUAGGGUGGAGGCAAACCUUUCAGAGAAUUUCUGCUGGGAUUUAAAUGUAUGUCUAGCUGGCUUUAGACAUUAGAAGACUGUAAUAUGUACCUUAAUAAGUUGCCUUUCCCAUGGUGUUUGUUAUCCUCAGAAGACCCCCAUAGUGACUCUAGGAGACAAUUCUCAUAUCUUCUGAACUGUGCAUGUUCAUAGUUUUUCUGAGCAGGGUUUGCAUCUAGCAGCGAUGGAGGUAUAGGAGGUCACAGGCAACACUGCGUGCCUCACACAACAUUGUAGAUCAAGACACAGUUAAAUGGGCUGGCAAUUCUGAGUUUCUGAGUCCAGUCCCAUGACUAGUAUAGCUGUCAGAACUAGAGGGGCCAACCCUGGGAAUCUUGGAGAUGCUUUAUGAAUAUAUGAGAUUUCAGGCAUCCAAGCUCUUCUAUUUGUUUACAUGUAUUCUCAAUGUCUAUCUCCCAUUAUCAAAUCUAUUCCAAAAGUAUUUUUUCAACACUUGCUGGAGACUCUUGGAUAAAGCUAGUAAACGUGCUUUUAUUAAGCUCCAACUCUGUGCUGACCACUUAUACAUAUAUUGUCUCAGUUGCACUCAAAAUGCUAUUGUGUGUUAGGGUUCUUUCUUACAGAUUUUGAAACAGUGUCUUGGAGAGGUUAGGUGAAUUGCUCAAAAGACGCAGCAAGCACAGAGCUGUGACUUGGUCCUGUCUUAUCUGCUUUGGGGUUAUGGGUAGUUUAUCUUUAUAUGCCUAUUUUAACAGUAGACCCUCAACCACUGAAAUUGACAGGAAAAAGUAUGUGGUUGUUUUACCAAACAAACAAACAGACAAAAAACCAAACCCACCAAACCUGAAAUUUUUGGUUUGGUCAACAUUUUAAUUCAACUGUACUCAAUGUAUUAACAAUGGUGAUUUGAUAUGAUGGAUGUAAUUGAUAAUCAAUGCAGUGCCAUUUAUAGACUGCCUAAAAGUGCAUUGUACAUCAUUUUGACAACAUAUUUACCUGCAUUGUUUGGGCAAAAUGAAUUUUAAAAUUAUUUUUUGUUUCCUAAAUUUGUAUCAAUUGAAAAAAAAAAAGUCAUCUGGGUAGCAGACAGAAGUCAGCCUGGGACUACAGUGGGUCAUAACCCUGAGGAUUCAAAUGUGGGCAAUGGCAACAACAUCAGCGACUAAAGCUGUCAGUGGAGAAAAGAAGAAAGCACACGCCAGCCACCCUGCAGAACAAUGCAGUUCUUUCAGAGUCACAUAGUCCUAAAUCUGGAAACCAUCACAGCUGAGAGGAUAAGCUUUGGAACCCGAUAGUGGUCUAAAACUAGGCUCUGCCUGCCAUGGACAAACUACAAGAGACUGGGAAGUGAGUUAAACCUGAGCUAAAUCCCAGUUUCCUUCUCUGCAAAACAGGGAGUGGGGACAGUGGAAUAACACCUCCCUCAUAGAACUGUUGGGAGGCAUAAAUGACCCUCAGCACAGGGUGGUGUGUAUGGAAUGUGCAUCAUAAGUGGCAGCUAUUUUGAUAAUUACUAAACAUGAUGAAUGAUGAUAAGCGAAAUAAUAACACAGCUUUUCAACAUUUUCACUCAAUAAGUUAAAUUUAUAAUAGGCAAGCAAAGGAGUUUCCAGAAUUAAGCAUCUGAUGGGAGCUUAGACAGGUUGACUUUUACAGCUCAUUCUAACCCUGAGUGAGGGUCUGUGAUUUUAUAAGCCCUUUUAGGGUUCGAGUGCUACUUCUAAUCAAGAUCCUGGUAUCAUGUUUUUCUCCAUUACGUGGAACAAUAAUGAAUAGAUAAAUAAAAUAUAACUGGGAAAGGAGAACACAGAUUGAACACAUGCAUUUAUCUCCACUCUUGUCCAAAACCUCACAGUAAAAUAAUUUAAAAUACAUGAACCUAUAAGAACAAGAGAGGGGAGAUAUGAUGAAAGAGAAAACCAAAAUUUUGGAAGUUGGAAAAAAAUGGAAGGCUGGUUAGCCAAUUAGGGACAGUAGAAAGCUGCAUAUCUGUAAGGCACAUGCUGCCAAGAGAGAAAAGCAAGGCAAUUUGGAUGUGGAACCUCAGACAGGCUUAGAAUAGGAAACAGAUCCAUGAGUCAUGACACUGUGGUUGAGAUUUCUGCUUUAGCCAUUCCAGCGUAUGCUUGUUUUUCCCUAAAAGUCUUUACUCAUUUGUUUUCUCUCUUCCGCCCAGUGAACAUCUACUCAUUCUUCAAAACCCAGAACUGUUGUUGUUUCUUGAAAAAUGGAGAUUAUUCCAAAGUUCUUUUAGCCUUUGCAAUGUGAAGGCAUGUGUCAGGGUUGGGAGGAGUUGGGGAACAGCACCUCUUUCUUUUAACGUCCAAUUGAUUGAGGCCAAUGGGUCAUCCUGCCUCCUUCCCUAAAUAUUCCUGAGAAUGCUCAGAGAGGGCCCACAUGUUCCCUAAGUCCAUUCUGGUUACCCUGUGUGCCUUCUUGCUCUGGUCUGCUGCUCCCAGCUUCUUCACGAUCACUUGUGAUCAUUUGCUAGCCUUUUUUUAGUCCAUUUUACUCCAAAGCAAGAAUACAGUACUUGCUCCUUACUCUCCAAUGCUUACCAAUGCAACAACAAGAGGUAAUAGUAUUUAACAAAUUUUGAUACGGAGGAAAGGAAAACCUAAAAUAAGGUACCAUGUAUCACUAUUCCUGAAUUCUGUCAUCAUGUCCCUUUAAAGGCAGUGCUCUAUAGGUUCCGUCUCUCCUGUGGCCCCAGCCUGCUGCCACUGGAACAAGGGUCCAGGGUUCUUAAUGCACGGAAGUCUUCAUCUUAUCCCCCACAAAUCUACAGCCAAAAGAAGGAAAUACCCAUUGAUGACACGAUAGACAAUAUAACAGUUGACAAGAUAAUUGAUACAGCGUGCCCAAUGUGAAGAGAGAAUUUGUCACGGCUAGAGUAGUGAACCUUCUCCAGGUGAACCAUCUGCCGUUGGAAGCUUCCUUUUGUCCAGGGCUCCUGCAAGGCCAGUGAGUAGGUACUUCUAUCUACACAUGACUGAAAAAGACUUACCAAAACCAAUAUAUUCCCAAGGAUACUUUCUAAAUUCUACCCAAGGAGCAGAUGCUGCUCACAAUUCUCUAAAACAAGGUCUUUUUUUUUUCAACCCCAGAUAUAUCAAGAAUGGGACACAAUCUCCGAGGAAGAAAUUGUCAGCAUCUAUCUUGAAAAUAUCUUUGGUUUCCCAUUACAUUUCGGAUUUCUCUAGACCAUAUUUGUAGUUCCCUUUUUGGUGUUCCCAUUCUUGUAAGUUUAUAUAAACAGCAAUAAGACUAUAGCUCUUCUCACAGGAUACUUUGUUAUUUCUUAAUGGGACUGUCUGUCCUGUAGGCUAUGAGCUAUUUGAGGGCAAAGAAUAUUCUAUUCAUCUUUAUAUUCCUGGCACAUGGUAGGCACUCAGUAAUGCUGCUGCUGAAUUGAAUCGGCUGUGGGAAAAAAACAAAUGCUUCUCCUCAGUCAGCAUUUGUUUUCUAGGAUCUAUUCCAAUAUAUUUCCAACAAAAAUAUGAGAUUUAAAAGAUAGGCAGAGAGUGAAUUGAACUGAAUAUUGCACAAAAACUCCUUGUCUUUAAAGGUGGAAACAAAAUCCACCACCUUCCCAAGAUAGCUGUUCUGUCUCACAUCUUCUUGAAGCAAUGAAAUGAUGAGUACUGUGAUCAGAGAGGACCCUCAGAAAAUAAAUAAAAACCCAGCUCUACAAAUGCAGCCGUAAGCCAGGAGGAUAUGACGAAGGAUAUCAUUAUCAUCCUGAUAUUUUUAGAAGUUCUUUGGUGACAGGUCAGAUUUUUGAGAAUCAGAAAAUGAUAAAAAUAAUCUUGUUAUUCCACAAAGGAGGCUCUAUAUAUAUCAGGCCGAUUUUGAACACUGCCUGAGAAUGUUGAGAAAAUAUUUUUAAAUGUUAGUGAAAUGAUAGGCUUUGGGGGCAGACCCAGCCUCGCUUUAGAAAAAGCUUUAUCGUGGGGGGAUUGAGAGAUUUUAGUGAUGUGAGCAUUGUAAAGAAUCAGCAGUGAGUGGGUGUAAGUUUUUGUUUUCCAAUUUUCCAGAGGAGGGUCCACCUGGGAAGAAUUUCAUGAAAUUUACAGAAAUCUGAAAAUUGCUUUUGAAGCUAUUACAGGUACCUGGGGAGUCCUCCUUGGCCCCACAGGCUGACUACACUAUCCAGAUCUUAAGGGACUCUCAUCUUUCCUAACUUCUAGGUUGCAGGAUUCUGCAGAAUUACUUCUGCAGCUUCCAUUUGUAGCUAUUGCUAAGUGGACCCAUAGCUAUAUGGGAUGUGGGGCUCUGGAUUUCAGGUAGAAAUGACCCUUUGUUUAUUUGAGAUGUUUGCUUCUUUAAAUACUCAGCCAUCUGACUCUCUAAUUGUUUAGGAUUAGUCAUAAGUUAAGUAGGACAGGGAAGAUGUUAUAAAUAGUUUAUUGCAUAUCCAUUCAAGAAAUUUAGGCUAAGUUUAUAUAUUUUACCUUCUGAAAGGAGAAAGCCUGUGUGUUUAUUUAAAGCAUUGUAGAUUUUUUCUCAUUUAGAAUAUAUGAGUCUAGUAUAAAAAUUGAUUCUAGAUGAUUUAUAUGUAAGUUGCUCUUUUCUUCAUACUUAUUUUGCUACCUUUUUAUUUCAUGUUUUUUCUUAAGUAUGACUUUGAGCCUUUAAAAGUAUUUCCUUUAUGUCUCUUUUGAAUAUCAAAAACAACAUGAAUUAAAAAUAGAAGUCUACAUAUCAAGGAAACUUUGUAUAUAUAUUUCUUUGGAGUUAGGGGGUGAUUUCUAUCAUUACUCUGAGUUUAUUUUACUGAACAGUAUAUUUUUGAGAAAGUGGAUCAUACUAUGACCAAUAAGACUUGACUAUAAAAGUAAAAUAAUACCAAAAUAUAAUACUGAUAAACAUAUAGGUGUCUAAAGAAAAAUGUUGCAUAUUUCUACAGCAGGGCAAUUAACCAUAGGACUUCUAAGAGGCCUAUGUCACAUAGGGCCCACACAUUCCUCCAUCUGCCAAGCCUUUAAAUUUAGGCACCAGAGAUCACCUGCAAAAUGCAAGCAUGUUAUCGGGAGGGGCAAUACAAUAAUACCUACCAUCUGGUGUUGUUAGUUAUCAAGUCACUGGUCUGUCUCCUAAGCGUAGCUCUGAGAUAAGGGGAAAGAAGGAAGAGAUCUGAGGAGGCAAUGCUGUUCUGGCCCACCUGGGGGAGAACCAUGAAGUCCACCUCUGAGCAGCCAGCAUCCCAGGAGGGAAAAGGAAGCCAGAGGGACCAUGUGGGAGCCAGGGGGACCACACUGACUUCACAAGGUUGCUACGAGGCUGCAAUUACCCAUGUGGCAGAUCCACUUGGAGUAAGUAAUAUUUUCAGUGGAAAUUUAUGUAAGCUCUGUCCAGUGUUUCAUGGAGUUUCUGCAGGUAAAGGACUGUGUGAUAAUAUUUCCAGUAAACAACUUCUUUAGAAAUUCUGCAGCCCAGCAGCACCAAGCAUGAGUUUGAUGCAGGUAACUUGAGUGGACAGCACAUUCUGGGAAGACAGGUAUUGGGAGUUCUCUUUGGCAGGUGUGAGUGGCAUCUCAAGAGUGUUCCUGGAGUUCCCACUCUGAAUGGCUGCCUGUGCUGAAAGCAUUCUCACUGCAGCACGAGAGAGAAAUGCAGGAGUGUCUCAUCACGACUUGAGACUUGCAAAAGACGUCAAGAAUGAGAGUGGGUCAAAGAUAAGGAACAGUGCUCAGUUGGGGUCUAAAUGGUCUCAUCCAGUGCCCUUUGGAUGCUGCACACUGUGUUGGUGCCAAUCACUUAGGAUGAGUCUUUCCAGGUCAUUAUAAGCCUCACAGCCUUGGUGAAGUGUGUUGUCAGAUGGCUGAUAUUCAUGACCCCAAGUGGAGAAGGAGGCUGUAGUUUGCUAGCCUGCUCCAUCAGAUUCCCAAAGGAGUUACCCUAUAACCUCAGGGCAGUGCAUUUAUAUCGACAUCUUACUGAAGGAUUGGCUCUUGGGCAGAUAAUUGUUCUUACUUUCUCUUUCUGCUCAACAAAAAGCGUAAUGUGAUGGAAGAGAAAAUGACUUAGUGUGGUGAGGCCAUGAAUUUAAUCUCAUUCUAACAAUUUAAAACUUAUGUCAUUCAGGACAAUUAAUUUAGUCCCAUUGAAUCCCAUUUUUGAAGUGCAGAUGAUCAUAAUAAUUGCUUCAGAGGGCUGUUGAGAAGAUAAAAUAAGGUCAGGAGUGAAAAUUUGACAUUUAUCAAAAUGUUUGUGAGGUUCCUAGUGGCAUGAACUGGCUCCUGAUCAGACAGUCAGCUUGAAUAUAUACCAGACUUUCUGAAGGGAAAAGUUCCAGGGUUCCUCCUGAGUAGACUCAGGUUUGGGAGCACUUUCUAUGAGUUUUAGAUAUAAAAGAAACCUUAGAAAUAAUCUUGUAUAGCCACCUUUUAAAAAAAUUGUAUUUAGAAUUUAAUUUUAUGAAAGAAACGUCUGUAUAUACUUUUAAAAUCAAAUAUUUAUAAUGAAAAGUAGCAAUUUCCUACCCCACUGUGUCUCAAAUUCCAUUCCCUAGAAGCUAAUAUCCUGAUAAAUUCAAGGAAUUCAAUGUUAUAUGUUGUCUAGUAUGUACUGCUCUAAUAUAUGAGUAUUUAGUUUAUUACACUCCCCAUUUCUCUACCCAUCCUCCCAAUAUAGUCUUAUCACUACAUUUAGUUUCUCCAUGGGAUAACUUUGUAACUGUAAAACGUAUACAAUUUUAUUUCUACAUUUGUCAUUGGGCUGUAAUCCUUGAUUCCACAUUUUGAUGAAUCCUUGAUUUUCACAACUUUGAAAGAUGAGUCCAUCCAACUUUUCCUUCACCCCUGUGCAUUACUUCUCACUUCCCAGUCUUUAUCAUUUGAAUUUUUAUCUCUCUGUUGUUAAAAGUUGAUGACAUUUACAUUUUAUUUAUGAGCACAAUUGUGUCUCAUGCCUUGUUUAUAGGUUGUGUAUAAAAGCUUAAAAUCAAUUAACAGUGUUUAGCUAAGUAAAUGUGGUUUACUGUAGAAUCAAGUGGAAUACAUUGAUUAGUUUCCUGUUUUGUACAGCAUUUUGUUUUUCCAAGAGUUUCUAAUUGCCUUUAUUUUUCUUCAUAGCAAUUUUGCCUUAUCUUUUACUUAUUUCAAAAUGUUAAAAUUAUAUUAGCUAUUCUUUAUUUUAUUAUUAUUAUACUUUAAGUUUUAGGGUACAUGUGCAGUCUAAGAGCUUGACCUUGAAACUGUUAAGAUCAGUAACUCUCCAUUCCACAGGGACUCUCUACUCUCCCCCCAGAAACUCUGUUCUUCCCUUCUGAUCAACACUGGUUGACAUCUAGACUGGGGUUUAUAUUUUUUAUCUUGAGAUUUGCCUUUUUUGCUUUUCUAGGUUGAAUCUCCUGUUUCCUGGACCCCAAGUCUUCUGUUUUCUUGAUUUACUUGCUGGGCUGAGGCACACCCUUAAGUAAUUCCCUAACAACAGGGUUGCUCCUAGAUGUGUGGGGCCUCAGAUAAAUAUUUUUUUGUGGGACCUUUUUCUAAAUAAAUAAUUUGACUAAGAAAGUAUUACAAAAUUCAUGGACCCACGUGGGGUAUAGUGUUUUAUUGAAAGUCAUUCAGAAUAAUGGAUACAGAUGAGGUACUUACAUAUUCAUUACUUAAUCAGUGCAUGUGAAAAUUCUUUCUUCAUAAUGUCCAGGCACUAUCUCUGUGUUCUUGGCUAAUUCCAUAUCUCCAGUCAUGAAGAAAAGUAGCAAUACUGUCAUUACUCACAAUGCCAAGUUCUUGGGAACUUGUUUACAAUGAACAAUAUAGAUCUGUACUACUUUUGCAAUACAAUUUAUUGAAGUCUGGUUAUAUUGUUAUAGAUGAUGCUGCACCAUGAAUACUGGCUUUCAAUGACUUUCUCAAAAGUUGUUGCUGUGCUUCAUUGUUGAUGACCAAAAAUGCAAGUCUUAUCCAGAGUAUGCAAGAAAAUGUGAACAAUAAUUUGUUUUCUGAUUAUGUUGAAUUUACUGUUUAUAAUCUGAACAUAGAGCAUGUCUUCCAACUCUAUCUUCUCUUAAACUCUAUGCUGUAAUUACUACAUUCCUAGACAGUGAUUCUUUUCAUGUUAACUGCACUCCUGCCUUCCACUCACUGCCACCAGUGGAGAGGACUAAAUGAAUGAGAAGAGCAGCCUCAUUGGCACAAGGAACAUCUCUCAUCAGGAAUGGCUUCAACUGAUCCAGGAGUGCUUGAUAUCCCCACAUCUGUGGAGGCAGGGGAGGACAUCAAUUGGAAAAGCCCCUUGCUGUUUCAGAGCAAAGAUCUUGAAAGCACCAGGUAGAGAAAGAUGUAGCCAUUGUCAAAAGACUGCCUGUUAGAUGAAUGGGACAGUGGGAUGACCACCCUGGGUUCAGUGGUAAAGUCAAAUGGAGUAAAGGAUGCCUGUUGCCACCCCAGCUGCACUUGGGUGCUGAAGAUCAGAAGUGAAACUACAGAACAAAUCCAGAUGAGAGCUCACCUAGGGGCUCACACAUAUAGUUCAGGCCAAGGUUCAGUGAUGGACCAUCAUCAGUACUCAGAGCACUGAACUUGUCCUGGGUGUGAUGUAUUUGAGAGUCACUUAAAAUCAUCAUAUCGCUGCCAUUUUGGCCACCCAAUCUCAUAGGAUUCUGUGAAAUAAAUAUGGCACUGGGCAGCAGGAGCAAUUCACUUGUCAGGAAUCCCUCCUGGAAUCAGGGCUUGGCCAAGGACUUCAAGCCAACCACCCAAGGCAUGAAUCCCAGAACUCCUGGGGGCAUCUGGCAACUUCAUGUGCAGAAUAUAUCUUCUCUGACCUAGUGUGGCUGAUGAUGAGAGGUCUGAUGCUGGUUGAAGUUCUUGGUUUUCACAGGUAUCUUUUACAUUUCUAUCUUUCCUGCUAAACCUUCUCAGUAUCUUCUAUUAUGGAUGUAUUGAAGUUUUAUAGUGAUGGGUCUAGAUGUGUGUGUGUAUGUCUGCAUGUGUAUGCACAUAUGUGAGUUGUCAACUUGAGCACUUGGGUACUUGAUUGGCUUCUUAAUUUGGAUACUCAUGUCCUUUGACUCUGGGACAAUCCUUUGCGAUAAUUCUUUGAUUUCUUUCUUUUUGUUUUUCUCUUUUUGUCACUCCUAUUGAUCAGAUGUGGGGCCUCUUGGACUGAUCCUCAACACAUCUUACCUUUCUCAUUUUCUUACAUCUUCUUGCCUUUGUUCUACAACAUUGGUUUUAUUAUAUUUUACCUACUAUUAGAAUUUCGGGCUCAUAUAUUUAUUUUUCAAUAGUUUUUCCUUGUUAGCUAGUUGUACUUUGUUGAUGCAAUAUUUUUUUUUACUACUCUUUCUAAGAAUAUUUAUUAAAGAGUUUUUAAAGGUUAAA